rnacentral:rRNA from 1 species
UAUUGCUUAAUGGGCGAAAGCCUGAAGCAGCAACGCCGCGUGAACGAAGAAGGCCUUCGGGUCGUAAAGUUCUUUUACGUGGGAUGAGGAAGGACAGUACCACGAGAAUAAGUCUCGGCUAACUACGUGCCAGCAGCCGCGGCAAAACGUAGGAGCAGAGCGUUAUCCGGAUUUUUAUGGCGUAAAGCGCGUGUAGGAGGCGCUACAAGUUGGAUGUGAAAGCUCCCGGCUUAACUGGGAGACGUCGUUCAAGACUGUAGUGCUAGAGUGAUGCAGAUGUAGAUGGCACUCCUGGAGUAG